AUUGAACGCUGGCGGCAGGCUUAACACAUGCAAGUCGAGCGAGCGGCGGACGGGUGAGUAAUGUCUGGGAAACUGCCUGAUGGAGGGGGAUAACUACUGGAAACGGUAGCUAAUACCGCAUACUAUCAGAUGUGCCCAUAUGGGAUUAGCUCGUAGGUGGGGUAAUGGCUCACCUAGGCGACGAUCCCUAGCUGGUCUGAGAGGAUGACCAGCCACAAUGGAACUGAGACACGGUCCAGACGCCUACGGUAGGCAGCAGUGGGGAAGAUUGCACAAUGGGCGCAAGCCUGAGGCAGCCAUGCCGCGUGUGUGAAGAAGGCCUUCGGGUUGUAAAGUUCUGUCGGUAGCGAGGCGUUAACUACAGAAGAAGCACCGGCUAACUCCGUGCCAGCAGCCGCGGUAAUAC
rnacentral:rRNA from 1 species